AAAAGGAGCAUCAUUUGCCAUUGAGUACCACACUCAACCGCCCAAAGAUCACAAAAACGCCAUUGUAGCUACUCAAUCCUAGCAUUAAUUAAGUUUGUAAGAAGAAAUGAGGAGCACACAAAUCCUAUUCCUGGCAUUUGCCUUCUUGAUACUAUCGUCAGCUAUGGCAACUUCUAAGCCAGUAUGCAACCAUAUCCUCAAAAAGGGACAUUGUAACAACAAUGAUUGCCGAGCGUACUGCAAAAAGUUCAUCCCCCCACCCGGUGGCCCAUCUCCCAAGUGCAUACCCGAGGGAUGCCAGUGUUAUGUAUGUGGAUGACUACCACCAAACCUGGAAUCUAUCUAGAUAAAAAAUUCAUAUACAUGGAUGUAUCACAGUUGCUUGAGUAAUGAAUAAUGAUUUGAGUAAUA